CUAACCUAUUUUAUGUUUUUUUUUAAUGUAUUUUUAGAAUGCACAUUUUAUGUAUCUUAUCUGUUAUACUGCCGUUUUGCGGUGCAGACAUUAUCAAUUAUUCAAAUGAUGACUAUCUCCUACUUGAGGAUACAGAUAAUCCUUUUUUAAACGAAGCAUACGGAGAAGUUUUUCACGUUACUAAUCUAAGCUUUUAUAACGAUAUUUUUGAAAAAGAAUUAAAUUUUUUUAAAAACUAAAACAAUACAAUUGAUCGGGAAGUAAGCUUGGAAUUGAAUUUAAUCAAAACACUCCUUUCUGAACUUACACCUCACAAAAUUGCCAUACAUAGUAUCAUUGAACUAGGCAAAAUUUUUAAAUGGAUCACUGGAACACCAGACCAUGAUGACAUGAUAACUAAGAAAUAAAAUAACAGGUUGGACUUCGCCUACAGUGAUAGACGACCAAUCUAUAUAAUAGAACAGGAGUUAAGUAUUUUACGACAGGGUAACUUAUCCGUUCUUGAAUACUACAAUUUAGUUAAUAAAAAGUUAACCCUUUUGAUAAA